rnacentral:rRNA from 1 species
GACGUAGGGCGCGAGCGUUGUCCGGAUUUAUUGGGCGUAAAGCGUUUGUAGGCGGCUUGUCGCGUCGUCUGUGAAAACCCACAGCUCAACUGUGGGCUUGCGGUCGAUACGGGCAGGCUAGAGUUCGGUAGGGGAGACUGGAAUUCCUGGUGUAGCGGUGAAAUGCGCAGAUAUCAGGAGGAACACCGGUGGCGAAGGCGGCGCUCUGGACCGAGACUGACGCUGAGGCGCGAAAGCGUGGGGAGCAAACAGG